rnacentral:rRNA from 1 species
GAACGCUGGCGGCAGGCCUAACACAUGCAAGUCGAGCGGUAACAGAUCCAGCUUGCUGGAUGCUGACGAGCGGCGGACGGGUGAGUAAUGCAUAGGAAUCUGCCCGAUAGUGGGGGAUAACCUGGGGAAACCCAGGCUAAUACCGCAUACGUCCUACGGGAGAAAGGGGGCUCCGGCUCCCGCUAUGGGAUGAGCCUAUGUCGGAUUAGCUAGUUGGUGAGGUAACGGCUCACCAAGGCCACGAUCCGUAGCUGGUCUGAGAGGAUGAUCAGCCACAUCGGGACUGAGACACGGCCCGAACUCCUACGGGAGGCAGCAGUGGGGAAUAUUGGACAAUGGGGGAAACCCUGAUCCAGCCAUGCCGCGUGUGUGAAGAAGGCCCUCGGGUUGUAAAGCACUUUCAGCGAGGAAGAACGCCUAGCGGUUAAUACCCGCUAGGAAAGACAUCACUCGCAGAAGAAGCACCGGCUAACUCCGUGCCAGCAGCCGCGGUAAUACGGAGGGUGCAAGCGUUAAUCGGAAUUACUGGGCGUAAAGCGCGCGUAGGUGGCUUGAUAAGCCGGUUGUGAAAGCCCCGGGCUCAACCUGGGAACGGCAUCCGGAACUGUCAAGCUAGAGUGCAGGAGAGGAAGGUAGAAUUCCCGGUGUAGCGGUGAAAUGCGUAGAGAUCGGGAGGAAUACCAGUGGCGAAGGCGGCCUUCUGGACUGACACUGACACUGAGGUGCGAAAGCGUGGGUAGCAAACAGGAUCAGAUACCCUGGUAGU